GUAUUUUUAAUUUAAGGAGAGAAUAUUAGUUUUUCAUACUAACAGUCGUUUGUUCGAAAAUACA
rnacentral:tRNA from 1 species